UCCCGGGGACUUGAUCCCCCUUAAGGGUCGUCCGAGACCAGGACGUUGAUAGGCCAGGUGUGGAAGCGUGGUGACACGUUAAGCUAACUGGUACUAAUUGCCCGUGAGGCUUGACCCUAUAACUUUGC
rnacentral:rRNA from 1 species